rnacentral:RNase_P_RNA from 1 species
AAUAGUGUUUGGGUAAUCGCUGCAACGAUUCGUUGUAGAGGAAAGUCCAUGCUCGCACGGUGCUGAGAUGCACGUAGUGUUCGUGCCUAGCCAAUUCAUAAGCUAGGGCAGUCCAACCCGGGCUGACGGCAGGGAAAACACCUACGUCCUUUACGGAUAUGGUGUGACUACUUUGAAAGUGCCACAGUGACGAAGUCCUGUUAGAAAUGGCAGGAGUGGAACGAGGUAAACCCCACGAGCGAGAAACCCAAAUUUGGUAGGGGAACCCUCUCAAAGGAAUUGAACGAAGAGAGGGACAAAGGGAUUUCCUUUGUAGAUAGAUGAUUACCACCCGAGUACGAGACGAACAGUCGCCUGCAGUACAACGGAACAAAACAUGGCUUACAGGACACUGUUACGG